rnacentral:rRNA from 1 species
GAUGAACGCUGGCGGCGUGCUUAACACAUGCAAGUCGAACGGGAAUUAUUUUAUUGAAACUUCGGUCGAUUUCAUUUAAUUCUAGUGGCGGACGGGUGAGUAACGCGUGGGUAACCUGCCUUAUACAGGGGGAUAACAGUCAGAAAUGGCUGCUAAUACCGCAUAAGCGCACAGAGCUGCAUGGCUCAGUGUGAAAAACUCCGGUGGUAUAAGAUGGACCCGCGUUGGAUUAGCUGGUUGGUGGGGUAACGGCCCACCAAGGCGACGAUCCAUAGCCGGCCUGAGAGGGUGAACGGCCACAUUGGGACUGAGACACGGCCCAGACUCCUACGGGAGGCAGCAGUGGGGAAUAUUGCACAAUGGGGGAAACCCUGAUGCAGCGACGCCGCGUGAAGGAAGAAGUAUCUCGGUAUGUAAACUUCUAUCAGCAGGGAAGAUAGUGACGGUACCUGACGAAGAAGCCCCGGCUAACUACGUG